ACAGGAUUAAUGCUUCAUUUUCCCAGAAGAAUUUUUCAGAUGAAGGGAGUCAGAGUCAUCGUUGCACAGAAACAGAAGCCGAGGUUUUGUUUUGUUCCCACAAGCUAUGGGUGGAAGCUGUGUUUUAAAAUCUCUGUGGUUCAUAUGCUCUAUAACACAAAGUUACCCCUAACAGGAAACAAGUUGGGUGGCAGCAAUGCCAGGACAAGGCAAAAUGCAGCUGGCUGGCAGUGCCUGAAAAGUAGCUGGAAAAUGUUGCUCCUCAACCAUGUCUGUCCCUCGUGUUCUUGGGUCUGCUCCUAAAUCUUCAGUACCAUUCAAAUUCCAUGUGCAUUCUUUGACACCUGUGCUGUAAGAAUGCUGGCUCUAAUAUCAAACCAAGGAAUGUGUACUGCUUGAAAGGCUUGAUAAUACUGUUUGGAGAAGGACUGGGGCAGUUUGGGAGACCUGUUGCUAUGAAAACCCAUUAAUGAUUAUCCUCUAAAAGCACAGCAAAUUACACAGCAGGCUAAAGGCCUUCCUAUUGGAUUACCAUAUUCAGUUCCCAGGGACUCCACAUGCUGUGCCAUGUAAUGCAUUUUACAUUGCUAGGGAGUUACUGAAGCCUGAGGAUAGCAGCAUUUUUCUGCCCUCUGGGAGAGUCAAGUUAUCUGGAAGACUACUGUGCUGACAGAUAAUUUUUGCUAUUACAUUUAUUUGGAAAGGAAAAGAAGCAAAUGCAAACAUUCAGAGUUGUUUUCCUCCUUCAGAUUCAAAAACAGAAUUUCUCCCUUAUAUUGUUCUACACUGAAAUGUUACAUAAUAAAGCUGUCUGGAGCCACAGCCUGUUUUGUCUUGAGAAAAAUAUAACGUAACCUCUGAGCUGAAGCAAAUAAAAACUGGACUCCUUCCACUGGGUGGGAACCAAAGAGAGAGCUGCAGUAAUGAUCCCCAUUUUCUGACAGCUCCUGUUACCGAACGGCCCUGCGUGGGACAGAGCAGUGUGGCAGGAACAAUGCCAGCUGUUAGAAACCAAGUACAAUCUGUGGGUCUGGCCUAGCCAUCUACGUUAACUUUGGAUCCAGUUUCUGAUCCGGCCACCCUGGAAGGACUUUGU